GCCAAAUUUUACACAGAGCAGAAGCCAAAAGCUAGUGCUAACUCAGGGUGAAUAGGAAAGACUGGAAAAGACCAAGGUGUGUGUUUACAUGCUUUCAAAGCUGCACCCUCCUAAGAAUGGAAUGAUUUUGCUGAGAGUUCACAACAUCUUGAAUAAGCAUUGAUAACACAGACCCAGACAGGAACGACUUGCUUCCAGCAACAGCUAGCUCCAGGAUAUUCCACCAAAACAUGUUGGUUUCCCUUAACCCUCCUCACACCUUUAUUGAACGCUCCACAAUGACCUUGUUCAAGUGGACCGCUUCUCUCUAACCAGGAGAGCUGCCUGGACCUGGACUCAUACAGAGGGAAAUGUGCAGGAAGAGAUGCAGUGAAGGAAACCAACUAGACUUGUGCAUGACAUUUAGUUCUGAGCCUCCUAGCAGGCAAGUCAAAAAGAACAAAGUAUAUCAUGUAAC
rnacentral:lncRNA from 1 species